GACGAACGCUGGCGGCGUGCUUAACACAUGCAAGUCGAGCGAUGAAGUUCCUUCGGGAAUGGAUUAGCGGCGGACGGGUGAGUAACACGUGGGUAACCUGCCUCAUAGAGGGGAAUAGCCUUCCGAAAGGAAGACUAAUACCGCAUAAGAUUGUAGUACCGCAUGGAAUAGCAAUUAAAGGAGUAAUUUGCUAUGAGAUGGACCCGCGUCGCAUUAGCUAGUUGGUGAGGUAACGGCUCACCAAGGCGACGAUGCGUAGCCGACCUGAGAGGGUGAUCGGCCACAUUGGGACUGAGACACGGCCCAGACUCCUACGGGAGGCAGCAGUGGGGAAUAUUGCACAAUGGGGGAAACCCUGAUGCAGCAACGCCGCGUGAGUGAUGACGGUCUUCGGAUUGUAAAGCUCUGUCUUCAGGGACGAUAAUGACGGUACCUGAGGAGGAAGCCACGGCUAACUACGUGCCAGCCGCCGCCUAA
rnacentral:rRNA from 1 species